GCUAGGCAUUGUACUGGGUGCCUGUAGUCCCAGCUUCUUGGGAGGCUGAGGCAGGAGGAUUGCUUGAGCCUAGGAGUUUGAGGCUGCAGUGAGCUAGGCUUACGCCAUGGCACUCUAGCCUAGGCAACACAGUGAGACUCUGUCUCAA
rnacentral:SRP_RNA from 1 species